GACAGAGGGUGCAAACGUUGUUCGGAAUUACUGGGCGUAAAGAGCGCGCAGGCGGUCGUUCAAGUCGCGUGUGAAAGCCCCCGGCUCAACUGGGGAGGGUCACGCGAUACUGAUCGACUGGAAGGCAGGAGAGGGUAGUGGAAUUCCCGGUGUAGUGGUGAAAUGCGUAGAUAUGCGGAGGAACACCGGUGGCGAAGGCGGCGUCCUGGACCAACACUGACACUGAUGAGCGAAAGCCAGGGGAGCAAACGGG
rnacentral:rRNA from 1 species